GCGCCCGUAGCUCAGCCGGAUAGAGCGUCGGUCUACGAAACCGAAGGUCACAGGUUCGAAUCCUGUCGGGCGCA
rnacentral:tRNA from 1 species